AGAACGCUGAGGCUGAAAGCGUGGGGAGCGAACAGGAUUAGAUACCCUGGUAGUCCACGCCGUAAACGAUGAGUGCUAGGUGUUGGAUCCUUUCCGGGAUUCAGUGCCGAGCUAACGCAUUAAGCACUCCGCCUGGGGAGUACGACCGCAAGGUUGAAACUCAAAGGAAUUGACGGGGGCCCGCACAAGCGGUGGAGCAUGUGGUUUAAUUGAAGCAACGCGAAGAACCUUACCAGGUCUUGACAUCCCGAUGCUAUUUCUAGAGAUAGAAAGUUACUUGGUACAUCGGUGACAGGUGGUGCAUGGUUGUCGUCAGCUCGUGUCGUGAGAUGUUGGGUUAAGUCCCGCAACGAGCGCAACCCCUAUUGUUAGUUGCCAUCAUUCAGUUGGGCACUCUAGCGAGACUGCCGGUAAUAAACCGGAGGAAGGUGGGGAUGACGUCAAAUCAUCAUGCCCCUUAUGACCUGGGCUACACACGUGCUACAAUGGUUGGUACAACGAGUUGCGAGUCGGUGACGGCGAGCUAAUCUCUUAAAGCCAAUCUCAGUUCGGAUUGUAGGCUGCAACUCGCCUACAUGAAGUCGGAAUCGCUAGUAAUCGCGGAUCAGCACGCCGCGGUGAAUACGUUCCCGGGCCUUGUACACACCGCCCGCCACCACGAGAGUUUGUAACACCCGAAGUCGGUGAGGUAACCUUU
rnacentral:rRNA from 1 species